rnacentral:rRNA from 1 species
ACGGGUGAGUAACGCGUGAGUAACCUGCCUUACACAAGGGGAUAGCCGUUGGAAACGACGAAUAAUACCCUAUGACAUAAACUCUUCGCAUGAGGAGCUUAUCAAAGAUUUAUCGGUGUAAGAUGGACUCGCGUCUGAUUAGCUAGUUGGUGAGGUAACGGCCCACCAAGGCGACGAUCAGUAGCCGGCUUGAGAGAGUGUACGGCCACAUUGGGACUGAGACACGGCCCAGACUCCUACGGGAGGCAGCAGUU